rfam:Pseudomonas sp. BAY1663 contig000044, whole genome shotgun sequence.
GCAUCCGUAGCUCAGCUGGAUAGAGUACUGCCCUCCGAAGGCAGUGAUCAUCGGGUUGAGAAGCUCGGAAGCU